GUCCUGGGGCCGCCGGGGCUCCGCGGGCGCUGUCGUGGGCAACCCGGGCCCCCUUCGUGCGGGACCCGGGGCUGCCCGCUGCCAUCGCUCCCGGAGCGCCCCCGGGGCGCGGAGGGCGCGGGGACCCGGGCACGGGCUGCUGGGGACGCCCCGGAGCCCUUGUGGAUGCCGGCAGGCCCUCCCUCGGCCCGCGGGAACGCGGUGAACACCUGGGUCGGCUCAAGCCCGCGGGUGGGCGCCGGGACGCGGGGGAGGGCCGUGGCACCGCGUGGCACCGCGUGGCCCGCACCCGCGCGCUCCCCUGCCCCCUCCCGCGCCCCCCCUGCGCGCCCGACUGUCAGGCGGUCCGCAGCUCUCGGGGUGGCCAGGUGCGCUGUGCACGGGGCUGGGGAGCCCCUCCCAGGCGGAGCUGAAAAAGGAAAAACAAACAACACAUUGAGCAAUCAGUUCGCCACCGUUUGAAUCUGGAAGAGUUUUGGCCCUAAAAACGGGCGCCCCGGGGGUCCCUGGCGGGGCGGGGGGGCUGGAGGACACUUGGGGCGGCGCCCCAGGGUCGCGCCUCCGCCCGCAGCCCCGGCGGGAGAGCGGGGCGCUGAAGCCCUGGAGACGGGGGUGCGC
rnacentral:lncRNA from 12 species